AGUUGUACUUCUAGAAAUGUUAUCUGGCCUGCGAGCUAUAGACAAGAAUAGGCCUUCUGGGCAACAUAACCUGGUGGAGUGGGCAAAACCUUACCUGACAAACAAACGCAGAAUUUUCCGUGUACUGGACACACGUCUUAAUGGUCAGUACUCCCUCAGUCGGGCACAAAAGUUGGCUAACCUUGCACUUCAAUGCGUAGAUGAACCAAAGCUCAGACCAAAUAUGGAUGAGGUGGUAAAAGCAUUGGAGGAGCUUCAAGAAUCAAAUAAAAAAGAGAACAAUCCAAUUACUCACAAGGAGAACAAUGGUGGACGCAUUGCAUAUCCACGGCCUUCUGCAUCCCCG
rnacentral:misc_RNA from 1 species